UCUUCGAUAGCUAAAGGAUAGCGUAGUCUUGAAGCGGCUAAGGUGAUAAUUUUUAUUCUCGAAGAA
rnacentral:tRNA from 1 species